rnacentral:rRNA from 1 species
GAGUUUGAUCAUGGCUCAGAUUGAACGCUGGCGGCAUGCCUAACACAGCAAGUCGAACGGCAGCAGCAGAAACAAUCCUUCGGGUGCGUAUCUGGCUGGCGAGUGGCGGACGGGUGAGUAAUGCUUAGGAAUCUACCCAGUAGCGGGGGAUAGCCCGGGGAAACCCGGAUUAAUACCGCAUACGCCCUACGGGGGAAAGCGGGGGAUCUUCGGACCUCGCACUAUUGGAUGAGCCUAAGUCCGAUUAGCUUGUUGGUAGGGUAAAGGCCUACCAAGGCAACGAUCGGUAGCUGGUCUGAGAGGACGAUCAGCCACACUGGGACUGAGACACGGCCCAGACUCCUACGGGAGGCAGCAGUGGGGAAUAUUGGACAAUGGGGGCAACCCUGAUCCAGCAAUGCCGCGUGUGUGAAGAAGGCCUGCGGGUUGUAAAGCACUUUCAGCAGGGAAGAAAACCCGGGAGUUAAUACCUCCACGGGCUUGACAUUACCUGCAGAAGAAGCACCGGCUAACUCCGUGCCAGCAGCCGCGGUAAUAC